rnacentral:rRNA from 1 species
AGUGAACGCUGGCGGUAGGCCUAACACAUGCAAGUCGAACGGCAGCACAGUAAGAGCUUGCUCUUACGGGUGGCGAGUGGCGGACGGGUGAGGAAUACAUCAGCAUCUACUUUUUCGUGGGGGAUAACGUAGGGAAACUGACGCUAAUACCGCAUACGACCUACGGGUGAAAGCAGGGGAGCUUCGGACCUUGCGCGAUUGAAUUAGACGAUGUCGGAUUAGCUAGUUGGCGGGGUAAAGGCACACCAAGGCGACGAUCCGUAGCUGGUCUGAGAGGAUGAUCAGCCACACUGGAACUGAGACACGGUCCAGACUCCUACGGGAGGCAGCAGUGGGGAAUAUUGGGCAAUGGGCGCAAGCCUGAUCCAGCCAUACCGCGUGGGUGAAGAAGGCCUUCGGGUUGUAAAGCCCUGUUGUUGGGAAAGAAAAGCUGCAGGUUAAUCCCCCGCUGUUCUGACGGUACCCAAAGAAUAAGCACCGGCUAACUUCGUG